rnacentral:rRNA from 1 species
AGAGUUUGAUCAUGGCUCAGGACGAACGCUGGCGGCGUGCCUAACACAUGCAAGUCACGGGGGCUCGCAAGAGCAACCGGCGAACGGGUGCGUAACACGUGAGCAAUCUGCCGUUUUCUGGGGGAUAGCCGGCCCAACGGCCGGGUAAUACCGCAUACGCUCAUCGGGGGACAUCCCCUGGUGAGGAAACCUCCGGGGGAAAACGAGGAGCUCGCGACCUAUCAGCUAGUUGGCGGGGUAACGGCCCACCAAGGCGACGACGGGUAGCUGGUCUGAGAGGAUGGCCAGCCACAUUGGGACUGCGACACGGCCCAGACUCCUACGGGAGGCAGCAGUGGGGAAUAUUGCGCAAUGGACGAAAGUCUGACGCAGCGACGCCGCGUGUGGGAUGAAGCUCUUCGGGGUGUAAACCACUGUUGCCCGGGACGAAUCUCUGGAUUUAUCCAGAUUGACGGUACCGGGUGAGGAAGCACCGGCUAACUCUGUGCCAGCAGCCGCGGUAAUACAGAGGGUGCGAGCGUUGUCCGGAAUCACUGGGCGUAAAGGGUGAGUAGGUGGCUUGGUAAGCGUGUGGUGAAAGCCUGGGGCUCAACCCCAGGUCUGCCAUGCGAACUGUCAGGCUUGAGCAUAGUAGAGGCGGGUGGAAUUCCGGGUGUAGCGGUGGAAUGCAGAUAUCCGGAAGAACACCGGUGGCGAAGGCGGCCCGCUGGGCUAUUGCUGACACUGAAUCACGACAGCGUGGGGAGCAAACAGGAUUAGAUACCCUAGUAGUCC